CCCCCCGCCUCGGAUCCCCGUGCCGGGGGCAUCCCCUGCCCAGCACAGCGAGGGAGAGCGGGGUGGCAUCGCCCGGGCUGCGGUUUUGGCAGCUGCUGGCACCGGGUUCUCCCCCCGCGGGCAGGUGCUGCUCCCGCGACCGCGAGGAGGAGGAGGAGAAGGAGGAGAGGGGGGAGCUCAGCUCUCACAUCAAGGUGCUCCCAACUGAAGUGCUGCCCGCGUGCUCGGCUUGUGGAGCCAGGAGGGAUUUAACCCCUGGUUUUGAUGCUCCACCUCGAUCCCAGGUGGAGGCAGGAGAGGGAGAAAUGUGGGCAGAGAGCCUGAGUCCCUGUGCAACCCCCCGGCUGGGAGAAGAAGCUCGAUUUGCUGAGGCCGGGGAUGGUUAAAGAGCUCGGCCAGGAAUCUGCACCAAACCUUUGACACACAAGACAUUUCCCUUUCGGGCCAAGGCAAACAAAGGAAGGAAGCGUCUGGGACUUUUAAAGCGACCCGGUGGAGACAGAGUUCUCUGUGCCUGAGGCUGCCAGGGCUGCCCUGCUCACCCCCUGAGCACCACCAGGCUCUGGGAAGUCUCCCGGGCUCAGGUGCUGGGGCAGCCCUGACCAUUCCUGGCAGAUCCCACCGUUCCUCAGCUUUUCUUUGGUGUAAAAGAGUCUUUACCCCU